CGUAUGCAACCUACCUUCAACUGAGGGAUAACCCGUCGAAAGGCGGACUAAUACCUCAUAACACAGGGGUCCCGCAUGGGAAUAUUUGUUAAAGAUUUAUUGGUUGAAGAUGGGCAUGCGUAACAUUAGGUAGUUGGCAGGGUAACGGCCUACCAAGCCAUCGAUGUUUAGGGGCUCUGAGAGGAAGGUCCCCCACACUGGUACUGAGACACGGACCAGACUCCUACGGGAGGCAGCAGUGAGGAAUAUUGGUCAAUGGUCGAGAGACUGAACCAGCCAAGUCGCGUGAAGGAGGAAGGCCUUAUGGGUUGUAAACUUCUUUUAUAGGGGAAUAAAAAGGGGAACGUGUUCUCUGUUGUAUGUACCUUAUGAAUAAGCAUCGGCUAACUCCGUGCCAGCAGCCGCGGUAAUACGGAGGAUGCGAGCGUUAUCCGGAUUUAUUGGGUUUAAAGGGUGCGUAGGUGGGCCUGUAAGUCAGCGGUGAAAUUUUGGUCGCUUAACGAUAAAAUUGCCGUUGAAACUGUGGGCCUUGAGUAUGGAUGAAGUAGGCGGAAUGCGUGGUGUAGCGGUGAAAUGCUUAGAGAUCACGCAGAACUCCGAUUGCGUAGCAGCUUACUAAGGCAUAACUGACACUGAAGCACGAAAGCGUGGGUAUCAAACAGGAUUAGAUACCCU
rnacentral:rRNA from 1 species